GUGCCAGCAGCUGCGGUAAUACGGAGGGGGUUAGCGUUGUUCGGAAUUACUGGGGCGUAAAGCGCACGCAGGCGGAUCAGAAAGUUGGGGGUGAAAUCCCAGGGCUCAACCCUGGAACUGCCUUCAAAACUCCUGGUCUAGAGUUCGAGAGAGGUGAGUGGAAUUCCGAGUGUAGAGGUGAAAUUCGUAGAUAUUCGGAGGAACACCAGUGGCGAAGGCGGCUCACUGGCUCGAUACUGACGCUGAGGUGCGAAAGUGUGGGAGC
rnacentral:rRNA from 1 species